rnacentral:rRNA from 1 species
AUUGAACGCUGGCGGCAGGCCUAACACAUGCAAGUCGAACGGCAGCACAGAAGAGCUUGCUCUUUGGGUGGCGAGUGGCGGACGGGUGAGUAAUGUCUGGGAAACUGCCCGAUGGAGGGGGAUAACUACUGGAAACGGUAGCUAAUACCGCAUAACGUCGCGAGACCAAAGUGGGGGACCUUCGGGCCUCACGCCAUCGGAUGUGCCCAGAUGGGAUUAGCUAGUAGGUGGGGUAAUGGCUCACCUAGGCGACGAUCCCUAGCUGGUGUGAGAGGAUGACCAGCCACACUGGAACUGAGACACGGUCCAGACUCCUACGGGAGGCAGCAGUGGGGAAUAUUGCACAAUGGGCGCAAGCCUGAUGCAGCCAUGCCGCGUGUAUGAAGAAGGCCUUCGGGUUGUAAAGUACUUUCAGCGGGGAGGAAGGCGGUGAGGUUAAUAACCUCGCCGAUUGACGUUACCCGCAGAAGAAGCACCGGCUAACUCCGUGCCAGCCGCCGCGGUAA